AUUGAACGCUGGCGGCAGGCCUCACACAUGCAAGUCGAACGAGUGGCGGACGGGUGAGUAAUGUCUGGGAAACUGCCUGAUGGAGGGGGAUAACUACUGGAAACGGUAGCUAAUACCGCAUACCAUCGGAUGUUCCCAGAUGGGAUUAGCUAGUAGGUGGGGUAACGGCUCACCUCGGCGACGAUCCCUAGCUGGUCUGAGAGGAUGACGAGCCACACUGGAACUUAGACACGGUCCAGACUCCUACGGGAGGCAGCAGUGGGGAAUAGUGCACAAUGGGCGCAAGCCGGAUGUAGCAAUGGCGGGUGUAUGAAGAAGGCCUUAGGGUUGUAAAGUACUUGCAGCGGGGAGGCGUUACCCGCAGAAGAAGCACCGGCUAACUCCGUGCCAGCAGCCGCGGUAAUAC
rnacentral:rRNA from 1 species